rnacentral:rRNA from 1 species
GUGAACGCUGGCGGUUGGCCUAACACAUGCCAGUCGAACGGCAGCACAGUAAGAGCUUGCUCUUACGGGUGGCGAGUGGCGGACGGGUGAGGAAUACAUCGGAAUCUACUUUUUCGUGGGGGAUAACGUAGGGAAACUUACGCUAAUACCGCAUACGACCUACGGGUGAAAGCAGGGGAUCUUCGGACCUUGCGCGAUUGAAUGAGCCGAUGUCGGAUUAGCUAGUUGGCGGGGUAAAGGCCCACCAAGGCGACGAUCCGUAGCUGGUCUGAGAGGAUGAUCAGCCACACUGGAACUGAGACACGGUCCAGACUCCUACGGGAGGCAGCAGUGGGGAAUAUUGGACAAUGGGCGCAAGCCUGAUCCAGCCAUACCGCGUGGGUGAAGAAGGCCUUCGGGUUGUAAAGCCCUUUUGUUGGGAAAGAAAAGCAGCAGGUUAAUACCCCGCUGUUCUGACGGUACCCAAAGAAUAAGCACCGGCUAACUUCGUG